rnacentral:rRNA from 1 species
GUGGGGAAUCUUGCGCAAUGGGCGAAAGCCUGACGCAGCCAUGCCGCGUGAAUGAUGAAGGUCUUAGGAUUGUAAAAUUCUUUCACCGGGGACGAUAAUGACGGUACCCGGAGAAGAAGCUCCGGCUAACUUCGUGCCAGCAGCCGCGGUAAUACGAAGGGGGCUAGCGUUGCUCGGAAUUACUGGGCGUAAAGGGCGCGUAGGCGGACAGCUUAGUCAGAGGUGAAAGCCCAGGGCUCAACCUUGGAAUUGCCUUUGAUACUGGCUGUCUUGAGUUUGGGAGAGGUGAGUGGAACUCCGAGUGUAGAGGGGAAAUUCGUAGAUAGUCGGAAGAAAACCAGUGGCGAAGGCGACUCACUGGCCCAAUACUGACGCUGAGGCGCGAAAGCGUGGGGAGCAAACAGGAUUAGAAACCCGGGUAGUCC